rnacentral:rRNA from 1 species
GAUGAACGCUGGCGGAGUGUAUAAUACAUGCAAGUCGAGCGAACGGACGAGAAGCUUGCUUCUCUGAUGUUAGCGGCGGACGGGUGAGUAACACGUGGAUAACCUACCUAUAAGACUGGGAUAACUUCGGGAAACCGGAGCUAAUACCGGAUGAUAUUUUGAACCGCAUGGUUCAAAAGUGAAAGACGGUCUUGCUGUCACUUAUAGAUGGAUCCGCGCUGCAUUAGCUAGUUGGUAAGGUAACGGCUUACCAAGGCAACGAUGCAUAGCCGACCUGAGAGGGUGAUCGGCCACACUGGAACUGAGACACGGUCCAGACUCCUACGGGAGGCAGCAGUAGGGAAUCUUCCGCAAUGGGCGAAAGCCUGACGGAGCAACGCCGCGUGAGUGAUGAAGGUAUUCGGAUCGUAAAACUCUGUUAUUAGGGAAGAACAUAUGUGUAAGUAACUGUGCACAUCUUGACGGUACCUAAUCAGAAAGCCACGGCUAACUACGUG